CUAGAUAUUACUAUAAGCUUUCCCAAAACAACCGUGGCCUAAUCAAUUAAAUGUGACCGGUAAAAAAAAAAGCGCGAUACUCUAAGCUUUGGCGCAAUCUGAAAAUCCGAUUGUAAUAGAAUUGAAAUAUUGAAAAAAGAAACUCGGUGCUUGAAUUUUUCACACAUGAUUAGAAGGAUUUCAUCGAAUUACCUAUUCUUCGCGUUAGGGUUUCUGCUUUCCACCGCAAUCCCCUUCGCUGACGGUGAAUCAUCCACGUGCUUGACGGUUUACAAAAACGGCGGUGCUCCGGCGGUGUUCCAAUCCCCGAAAUGCCCUCGCUGGAGACUCUUCGAUUACGAUUCUUCUCCUCGAACUGCAACGCGUUGUCAAUCUUCGAUGCUCCAGGGUCGAAGAAAAUCACAAGAGGAUCGCACUCUCUGUGUACUCGAUGUUCGCAUUCCAUUCCCCGGUACGAUGGGGAUCAGGGAGGUUGUAGUUGGAAUUGUGGCGGUUUUCGAUGGACAUAACGGUGCUGAAGCUAGUGAGAUGGCGUCAAAACUUUUGAUGGAGUAUUUUGUUCUGCAUACUUAUUUUCUUCUUGAUGCAAUGUAUUCUGUUGUAUCAAAGACUUCCACAGGAAAAUUGCUUCACAGGCGAGACCAUGAUCACGGAAACUUAUUGCAUAGGUGGAAAGAGAUUUUAGGUUGGCAAUGGCAUGAACUGCAUUCUGAAAGGUUGCGGAAUGUAUUUUCUGCUAAUUUUGAUGAUUCUUUUCACUUGGAAAUUUUGAAGGAAGCAUUGUUGAGAGCAAUCCAUGAUAUUGAUGUAAGGUUUUCUGAGGAAGCCUCUAGAAAUAACAUUCAUUCAGGAUCUACAGCAACAGUUGUAUUGGUUGCAGAUGAUAAGUUUUUGGUUGCCAAUAUUGGGGAUUCUAAGGCUUUCUUGUGCUCUGAAAAUUUUCAGUCUCCUAAGGAAGCUAAAGCCUCCUUAUUAGAGCUAUAUAGGCAGACAGAGCGUGAUGGUUCUGUUUCUGUGUGGGAUCGUGAAAAGUAUAGAUUAGCUUCUUCCCACGGGCUCAAUCAUUUUGCAGUGAAGGAAUUGACUAGGGAUCACCAUCCAGACAGAGAGGAUGAAAGAAAUCGGGUGGAAGCUGCUGGUGGUCAAGUUCUAAAUUGGGGUGGUUUGCCUCGCGUAAAUGGUCAGCUGGCCAUUACACGAGCUAUUGGUGAUGUGUUAUUUAAAAGUUAUGGAGUUAUAUCUGCACCAGAAGUGACUGAUUGGCAGCCUCUAACUGCUAAUGAUAGCUACUUGGUGGCUGCAUCUGAUGGGGUCUUUGAGAAGUUGAGUGUGCAAAAUGUCUGUGAUUUGUUGUGGGAUGUACACCGUAUUAGGGACAUGAGAUCAGAGUGCACCUCUUCAUCUUCCUAUUCAUUAGCAGAUUUAAUUAUUGAUGCUGCCUUUGAAAAGGGCAGUAUGGACAAUAUGGCAGCAGUUGUUGUUCCUCUGGAAUCGGCCAACUCUUCUGGGAACUCGCUUAGAAGAAGCUACACUGAAAAUGGUGAUACAGGUUUCCCAUUAUUUGGUCUGCAGGAAUCUGCUUACAGAAGCUCAGCUAAUGAUAUCACUUCCGAUCUAUUGCACCUGGAGCGCACCCGUCUGCAAGAUACCAAGUUUAAGCGAAUAUUGGUUGAAGUGAAACAUGGUGAUUUUGGAUGUUUUUAUUUAGCAGAAAAUCUUGAUGAUUCAGUGGAAUCUAAAUGGCCGGCCAAAAAAGAUGACUGGGAAAACUAUUUGUAUGAACUACCCCAGCCUCUACCAAACGGCUUUCAUCAACAAGCUGAAGUAGAUGGCCCUAUAAUUUUGUACAGCGACCAAAACUUCUGCUUUUAUCUGAGUUCAACUAUCAAUGAUGCCAAAGACCAAUGCAUAAAUCCUGAAGGCUUUGCCAGUUUUAUUGGUCUUCUUGAAUCAAUUCCUUUACAUGAUACAGGUUCAGAUAAUGCUUCUUCUGACUAUUCGAUGCCUGAUUCAAGGUAUGUACUAAGGAGGAGUUUUGGUCGUGGAUCAUAUGGUGAAGUAUGGUUGGCUUUUCAUUGGAAUUGUAAUCAAGGUAAUAUUACUGCAGAAAUGAGCAAGGGCGACAAUAAUAGGAACAGAAGCUCAAGUAAUCCUGAGUGUCAGGAUGGUCCUUCUAACUACACCCUGUACAUUUUGAAACGUAUAAUGGUAGAGAAAGGGUCUGCUGUGUACUUAAGUGGACUGAGGGAAAAAUAUUUUGGCGAAAUUUUCUUAAAUGCCUCUAUGUGCUAUGAAGAUGUGCUAUUGGGUGGAAAAUCAAACUGUGUAUUUGAAACAUCACAAUAUGAUUCUGAGUAUUCAUUUCAAGACAAAUUUCGACUGCACGGUGCCAUAUAUGAAGAAGGUUUGAACCAUAUUGCAAGAUAUGUGGAAUCUUUUGAGUCUCGGUCCAAUGAAAUAUGGCUUGUAUUCAGUUAUGAAGGAGUGUCAUUGUCAAAGCUUUUAUAUACUGUAGAAGAUGCAAACAAUACAGCUGAGAAAGAAAGACUUGAGCAAGUGAAACAAGUUCAGAUACUACAUCCAUCAAAGUGGUGGCGUUGGGUGAAAACCACAGAAGAAGGGCAAGAAGAAAUGCGCAACCUUAUCUGGCAACUGUUGUUGGCACUCAAGUCUUGUCACGACCGCAAUAUCACACACAGAGACAUUAAACCUGAGAAUAUGGUGAUAUGCUUUGAAGAUCCGGAGUCAGGGAGAUGCUUGAAAGACACUCCAACAAAAGUUAAUAGUUUUUCCACCAAAAUGCGUAUUAUUGACUUUGGAAGUGGAAUUGACGAAUUCACAAUAAAGCAUUUGUAUGCUUCUACUGGGCCUACUAGAGCUGAACAAACUUACGAGUACACACCUCCUGAAGCCUUGCUAAAUGCUACAUGGUAUCAAGGGUCAACAAGCUCAAAUUUGAAGUAUGACAUGUGGAGUGUUGGUGUUGUGAUGUUAGAGAUGGUCUUAGGGACACCUAAUAUUUUCCAGAUAAAUGCUUUUACACGUGCUCUUUUGGACCGCCAUCUUGAGGGCUGGAACGAUGGUGUGAAGGAGCUGGCAUACAAAUUUAGAUCAUUCAUGGAAUUGUGCAUCUUAAUCCCUGGGGUUUCUGGCAGUUACUCAAAAAAGUAUCACAAAGCUAAUCAAGUUGGAGUUUCGCCUGCAUCCUGGAAAUGCUCUGAAGACUUCUUUUCUAAACAAAUUAAGGCUAGAGAUCCUCUUAAAAUAGGUUUUACAAACAUUUGGGCUUUACGGUUAGUGCGCCAUCUGCUACAAUGGGACCCGGAGGACCGGCCAAGUGUUGAUGAGGCACUGCGGCAUCCCUAUUUCCAACCUCCGCCAAGAGGAUAAUUUUACAGAUGAAACAACAGGUGUCUUGCACUGAAUAUUCAUUCUAGAGAAAUUGGAAUUUUCAUAUUGAUGCAGAUUUCUGUGUGAAAAAGGACAAUAAGCUACAUUCUGCAAAGACAUGGCGUUAUCAAGCUGACACUAUUCACGUGUCAAAUUGAAUGAAAUUAGGUACUUCAGAAUCCAUGUCAUACCUGCUACCAGUGCGAUACGGUUAAUUACUCAGAAUGCAAUAAAAAUAAUUUUUAAAAUUAAAAAAAAAAUGGAUAGAUCAUUUGGGGUACAUGUGAGUACCUUUUGAAUAACUUGUAGCUGGUUCUGUAUAUAUCUUUGUACCGUAAAAAAUUAUAAAUUUAGAUUCUUUCUUUUUUUAUCAUGUAUCAUGUUGAUACUGUUUUCAUAUUGUGUAUAUUAUUUCUCUAUUUCUGCUUUAUAAAUAACAUUUCUGCGACUUCUAUUUUA